AUUGAACGCUGGCGGCAUGCCUUACACAUGCAAGUCGAACGGCAGCACGGGAGCAAUCCUGGUGGCGAGUGGCGAACGGGUGAGUAAUAUAUCGGAACGUGCCCAGUCGUGGGGAUAACGUAGCGAAAGCUACGCUAAUACCGCAUACGAUCUAUGGAUGAAAGCGGGGGGAUCGCAAGACCUCGCGCGAUUGGAGCGGCCGAUAUCAGAUUAGGUAGUUGGUGAGGUAAAGGCUCACCAAGCCGACGAUCUGUAGCUGGUCUGAGAGGACGACCAGCCACACUGGGACUGAGACACGGCCCAGACCCCCUACGGGAGGCAGCAGUGGGGAAUUUUGGACAAUGGGCGCAAGCCUGAUCCAGCAAUGCCGCGUGCAGGAUGAAGGCCUU
rnacentral:rRNA from 1 species